rnacentral:rRNA from 1 species
UACGUAGGGACCGAGCGUUGUCCGGAUUCAUUGGGCGUAAAGAGCUCGUAGGCGGCUGUUCAAGUCGAACGUGAAAACUCGGAGCUCAACUCCGAGCCUGCGUUCGAGACUGGAUGGCUAGAGUCUGGUAGGGGGAUCUGGAAUUCCUGGUGUAGCGGUGAAAUUCGUAGAUAUCGGGAGGAACACCGGUGGCGAAGGCGGCGAUCUGGGUCGAUACUGACGCUGAGGUGCGAAAGCGUGGGGAGCAAACAGG